CAUCAGUUUCCGACAUAACUGAGCCUGAGCGAGGACGAGGCUCUGAACUCUGAUGAAAGAAUGCUGGCUCACUUGGCUAAUGGUGUAAUGGUGUAUUUCGACAUUGUCAUUAUGAGGUAACCAGCUUAUGAUUUUCACUUUCACGGCCAAAUGACCCAAAUCCACUGAUGACGUGGACCUGAAACAGCUGUCCAUUUUGCCUAAAUGUCGUCUGAGGCUACCUGUUUGGGCUUUAAGUUUCAUCUCAACCAGAAACACUGCAAAAACAGAAACGGUCGUCAACGUAGAGAAAGAAUCUGAACCUAAAGUAGAGCCAGAAGAACCAUCUACUACCGGUAUACCAAAAACCAACGGAACUUACUACAUACGUUCCAAGACAUUAUUGUGGCUUUCCAUUGUUGACUUACGAAUAAUGGUUCUGGCGGAGCCAUCAAGGAAGAAAGCAGUGGUACUGGUACCUCCACCAAAUUACAAUGUUCUUUACAAACCGACGUAAUUUUCAAGUUUGGCAUUGUACGGCUGGCACCAGAUGUAUGUAAAUCAGUACAUGAGCAAUCCACUUGUGGAAAUUAAGAACCAGGCAUCGGGGGGAGAGAUACUCUAAAUGUAACUUGUCGCUCAAGUUCUCCGUUACCGAACAUUUAUCACCUCCAUCAUAUCAAAGGAUUAAAGCAUCAGGUGAUGAAAUUCGUCUUUACGGUUAAUUCGACCGUAUCACGAAUUGAAGCAUCAAUCCCGAUGUCGUUCAAGAUUUCCAUUGUGACCGCAAGAAUAACUCACCGGCUUGGAUAUACUCAUUGGCCAGACCUCUGUUCAAGAAUGUCACGUUUUCCCGCAUAGACGGCCUCUAAUCUUCAGCGAAUUCGCUUUGUAAGGUCGAACCCUCUGUGCAUGUUCCCCUGAGAAGAAAUGGCGACCAAAGCCGGCAACAAGGUAUGGAUUGAAAAAAAGGGUCAGGGAAGUCGUCCCAUCUCCUCCUUGAUUACGUAAACGCAAGAAAGUGGAAGCGCACAAAUCGUCGCAACCGACAGUCACAUAAGAAUGAAGAUGACUUGCAACUUUAGGGUGCUAAUAACUAAGCAUUACCGCAAAGAGGUUCGAAAAAACUGCUGCUACCACCUACCUACCUACCACCUAAUAUUUUUCGACUUAAGUGCACAUUAGAGACUUGGGAUCUGGAGGUAAACAUCUGGAGUAAAAAUAAGAUUGAAAUGUUGAGAAAAUCUGGUCAAUUGAUCCAUUCACAGUCCAUGCAUCAAAUUGUCCUAGUAAACUGAAGUCCUGUUGGAUUUGGUCAUGGUGGCAUUUUACCACGCCCGCGAGAAACAGUCAAACCUCGUCCAGUGACCAAAAUCAGCGCCAAGACGAGAACCGAUUGUUGCCCCUAUCCAUCUGCACACCUUCACGAAGACCUCAAAGCUCUGUCCAUCAAUCCGCCUACACAGCCUCUGUACGGCACGCUGGGGAAAAAGAAGAAACCGCCUCCUGUCCCGCCAAACGUGCCAGCAGCAGGCAGCAGCAGCUCCCCCUUGGCGGAGAGCGAGGCGGCCUAGCCCAUUUACGGACGGAGUGCCAAGUUUUGGCACUCCAAGUCCAAGCGAAAGCAUUAACACUUCAGAUACUGAACCGGGAAGCCCGGCCAUGGAAUUCCGUCAACGCCGGAAUGGAUCCGAUGCCAGUUGCAAGUCGACGUCCAGCACGGAAUGGUAUUCAAUGCCGUUUGCCAACGACAACGCCAGUACCAUCAAACAGCGAAGUGCGCGGGCUCACCCGGCCCUUGCGGCACUGACUUACUCUUCUUCCUCUGUCGCCCGUUCUGUCUCACUCGGCCGACGGGCGCCAUCCACCAGCAACGCCAACACCAAAAUAAGUCUCGGUCAGCAUUGCACCCCUGUCUCUUAAGAACUAGCGACCUGUUGAACGACAUUGGCAACAUGCUAGCUGACUUGACGGAUGAAUUGGGCUCUGUGUUGGAAGAGGAAAGCAGUAACCAGCCCAUAAGGCAGAAAUCCUAAAUGGGGGGUCGCAAAAAACGUUGUUUAUGUAUAUCUUAACCUGGAUUUUUAAACGUUUGCUGAUCCCCUAGACCCCUCUCUUCCCUUGGAAUAAGAAAAACGUUCCGGGCUCCACUUAUUGUUUAAUGCCAGCCAGCUGCGUCAAGGUGCCUAGUUCACAAGCAUAUCUCGUAAAGCAAGCAUGAUCCAUCUGGAUUGAUGAAAUAGUUUAUGAACAAGUGUUGGAUAUUCCUAUAUUCUUAUUUCUCCCUUUUUCUUCUUCAAUUUAACACUGUUCCAUCUCGAUGGAAAUGAUUUCUUUUACGUUACGUGACGAUUUUAACUGUUGGGAUAUUUUUUUUUUUUUAAUUCACCGUCCUUUUGUUAUAUGUUGCCCGCCCAGCCAAGUGAUGUACCUUGUACCUAUAUAAUAUUGUAUGGAAUACAUGUACACGUUUAUCGUA